GAUGAACGCUGACAGAAUGCUUAACACAUGCAAGUCGAUGGGGAAGUGGUGCUUGCACCAUGGCAACCAUGGCGGACGGGUGAGUAACGCGUAAGGGACUUACCUGCAGGACUGGGAUAACAGGGGGAAACUCCUGACAAGACCGGAUAAUGUCAUGGAGCUGCAUGGCUUUAUGAUGAAAGGAGACGCCUGCGGAGAGCCUUGCGUCCUAUUAGCUAGUUGGUGAGGUAAUGGCUCACCAAGGCGAAGAUAGGUAGCCGGCCUGAGAGGGUGGACGGCCACAAGGGGACUGAGAUACGGCCCUUACUCCUACGGGAGGCAGCAGUGGGGAAUAUUGGACAAUGGGGGCAACUCUGAUCCAGCAAUUCUGUGUGCACGAAGAAGGUUUUCGGAUUGUAAAGUGCUUUCAGCAGGGAAGAAGUAAGUGACGGUACCUGCAGAAGAAGCGACGGCUAAAUACGUG
rnacentral:rRNA from 1 species